GUUUUAUUUCCCUGUUUUGACGCUCACUUCCACGCGGCGGCAGCCUCGGAUUGCUUAUAUUUUUCUAGACCUUUCCAUGCUUAUUUAGUAUGCUGUGUUAACCAAAAUAAAAGAACAACCCAGUCUUUAAAUCAGGUAUAAACAAAGAGUGAACUGCUAAUAUAUGUGUAAAAUAUUUUAUAUGUGUUUGUGUGUGUAUAUUAUAUCACACGCUACAUAUGAUACAUAGCCAUUUAAUAUGAUUUUUAAAGACCCUCCGUAUACGUAACGGACUAAACAACUGAUCUGCGAUCUGCCCGAAUGUUUGGAUUAAACUGACGUGAUCGCGCGUUCCAUCUCACAGAACUGAUCCCAGACCUGCUCUCGCCUGCUUUAUAUUUUUAGCCCAAUCGAACGCCGAUCCCUCGAGCGCGAUAGCGCGACAGACAGAACCCAACGAUCGCGGAUAAACAGUCUCACAGGGGAAGGAAGACGGACGUGUGCUUGUAUCGCAAUUCGGGGCUUUUAUAUUGCAUCAGAACGCGUUCACAGCUCACAGAUAAAACGUUUUAGAUUUCCCCUGCGUGAGUACCCGUCAAUCUGCGCUAAAACGCGCCUGGGAAGUUUUAAAUCGUUUACCGAUGGACUGACAAACGGAUUCUCCUCAGACGACGCAAUCUAAACAAUUCACAUUUUUACCUCAUUCUCUGAAAUCAAAGCCUGUUUCCCCUCAGGAUGACUUCAAGUGGACAAUUAAGACAUGCAGAGCUGUGAACAGCGUUGACCGGCGGCAUCUGGACAGACAUGGAGCCUUGUGCCGAGUCUCAGGGAGAUCCUGAGAGAGCUCAGCAUCAUGCAGAGAGCAGAGAAAACCCUGUCACCCCAGGUAAGAGGCUGACAUUCACCUGUGUGUGUGUGUUAUCUGUGCCCCUGUGUGUCAAAGUUAAUAGUUUUAAUAGUAUGUGGAACAGAACACAACAAUAAAUGUUUCAUUCUAUCCAAACUGUAUUGUUUGUUAUAGUCACAUGAACUUGCUACAAUAAAUAUUUUAAUUCAGUGAUUUGUGUCCA
ensembl:lncRNA